ACCCAUGGAUCCAUCCCUGCCAA
rnacentral:siRNA from 1 species